rnacentral:lncRNA from 1 species
AAGGAUGAGAGCUACUUGGAUCAUCAAUAUGAUCUCAAGAGAGGGACUCCAUUGUGGUUUUGUUUCUUCAUCAUUUCUCUUUUUGCUUUACUUAGGACUUAGCCAUUCUUCUUCUUCUUCCCACUCUAACCCAAGCCAAAACUCUUUGUGCAAACAUUUAACCUUUGUUUUCAACCAUUAGAAACCUAAGCCUUAUGCUUUUGAUUUUCAAACUUUCUUUUCAU